rnacentral:rRNA from 1 species
GAACCCUUUAACCGUACUGAGAACUUCUAUAAAGUUAUAGAACCUUUUAUGCUAAAACUAGUAACAAGAGGCAACCCCCUCUCCUAAUGCUAACAUAAGCCAGCAAGAACCCGUCACUGGCAACUAACAAACCUAAACAAAAGUAGCAACCUCACUAGAAAACCCUACUUUCCACCAUCGUUAACCUAACACCAGAGCAUUUCAAGAAAGAUUAAAAGGAAAAGAAGGAACUCGGCAAACACUAGCUCCGCCUGUUUACCAAAAACAUCGCCUCUUGCCACCCCCUAAGAGGUCCAGCCUGCCCAGUGACUCUGUUCAACGGCCGCGGUAUCCUAACCGUGCGAAGGUAGCGUAAUCACUUGUCUUUUAAAUAGGGACUAGUAUGAAAGGCACCACGAGGGCUAAACUGUCUCCUUUCCCUAAUCAGUGAACCUAAUCUCCCCGUGAAGAAGCGGGGAUCCCUUUAUAAGACGAGAAGACCCUAUGGAGCUUUAAACAUCAUAACACCUGCUACCUAUUUACACUAUCCUGAUCCCCUCACCCCCCACGGCACACUGAUUAUAAGUUUUUGGUUGGGGUGACCGCGGAGAAAAACCCAUCCUCCACAAUGAAAGGGAUAACCCCCUAAACAAUAAGCUACAACUUUAUGUAUCAACAAAUUGACAUCAUUGACCCAACAAAUUGAUCAACGAACCAAGUUACCCUAGGGAUAACAGCGCAAUCCACUUUGAGAGCUCCUAUCGACAAGUGGGCUUACGACCUCGAUGUUGGAUCGGGGUAUCCCAGUGGUGCAGCCGCUACUAAAGGUUCGUUUGUUCAACGAUUAAAA